rnacentral:tRNA from 1 species
GCCUGGGUGGCUCAGUGGUUGAGCAUCUGCCUUUGGCUCAGGGUGUGAUCGGGGUCCUGGGAUUGAAUCCCAUCUCAGACU